rnacentral:misc_RNA from 1 species
UUAAGUUCAGCGGGUAUUCCUACCUGAUCCGAGGUCAACUUUCAGAAGGUGCGUGAUAGCGGGUUUUACGGCGAGUGCACCGCCGAGCCGGCCCGGGCGAGAAGGAGAUUACUUCACCCGGGGGUCUCAGCGAGCACGCCACUGAAUUUAAGGGCUAGCCUUUUCACGGGCUAUGCCCCAACACCAAGCGCUGAAGCUUG